rnacentral:snRNA from 1 species
AUACUUACCUGGCAGGGGAGAUACCAUGAUCACGAAGGUGGUUUUCCCAGGGCGAGGCUUAUCCAUUGCACUCCGGAUGUGCUGACCCCUGCGAUUUCCCCAAAUGUGGGAAACUCGACUGCGUAAUUUGUGGUAGUGGGGGACUGCGUUCGCGCUUUCCCCUG